rfam:Schistosoma mansoni strain Puerto Rico chromosome W, complete genome
GUACUCGCUUCGGCGGUACAUAUACUAAAAUUGGAACGAUACAGAGAAGAUUAGCAUGGCCCCUGCGCAAGGAUGACACGAAAAAUCGUGAAACGUUCCAUAUUUUU